rnacentral:tRNA from 1 species
GGGGUGUAGCUCAGUUGGGAGAGCACCUGCCUUGCACGCAGGAAGUCAUCGGUUCGAGUCCGUUCACCUCC